AUACGUAGGGGGCGAGCGUUGUCCGGAAUGAUUGGGCGUAAAGGGCGCGUAGGCGGCCCGGUAAGUCUGGAGUGAAAGUCCUGUUUUUAAGAUGGGAAUUGCUUUGGAUACUGUGGGGCUUGAGUGCAGGAGAGGUAAGUGGAAUUCCCAGUGUAGCGGUGAAAUGCGUAGAGAUUGGGAGGAACACCAGUGGCGAAGGCGACUUACUGGACUGUAACUGACGCUGAGGCGCGAAAGUGUGGGGAGCAAACAGGAUUAGAUACCCUGGUAGUCCACACUGUAAACGAUGAAUGCUAGGUGUAGGGGGUAUCGACCCCUUCUGUGCCGCAGUCAACACAAUAAGCAUUCCGCCUGGGGAGUACGGCCGCAAGGUUGAAACUCAAAUGAAUUGACGGGG
rnacentral:rRNA from 1 species